rnacentral:lncRNA from 1 species
UAGAUUAUUAUAUUAUUGUAGACUUUUUGCCUUAAAUGGCUUAGACUUUUGGUGCAUUAACUUUACCUUUUGAGUUGAGGGGUGUGUAUUGUGAAGAAGCAAGACAUGCAGCAGACAUACAAUGCGUUGUUCAUUAUCCAUUUUUUUUAGUCUAAGCCAAAAAUAUUUUGUUUCCAUAGGAUAUUGACGAUAGUUAUAUAAAUAAGCUGCAUUAUACUUAAUAUUAAUGUUUAAUAUCAUGUGGUACAUAACGUAUUUGCUUAAUAUGUUGAUAUACAUUUUGUAAUGAUGUUAUAUAAUACAGUAUGUUAAGUCAUCAAGUCUCAUUACAAAUGUAUCUUCUGCAGGCACACAGAGUGGCCAAGAAAAGAAAGAUGGACCAUCUACUUUGCUGAUAAUCUUUGCAUUCUGUGUUGUUGUUGGAGUCAUAGUAUGCAUACUUGUUGCUAUUGCUACUAGAGACAAGUGGUACGGACCGAGACAGAGCAGAAACAUCACAACUGAAGUGCACAACAAAGACUACAGUAAAUCAGAAACACUGCCUCUGUCAGAGAAAGAACAGGAGAUAGUGGCACUGAUGAGUGUUGCGACGCUGAAGAAUGGUAAAAUGGAGGACAUUGCUGCCUGUCUGGAUGAGCAUGAGAAAGAGUAUUUAAUGUAA